rfam:Brassica napus, WGS project CCCW01000000 data, contig: 31369
UUGCACCUUGUAUCGAAUGUCAUGCCUCGUUCUGGUGGCAUGGCUAUUUUUCGAGGAUGCAUAAAGUGAUGGCUGUUGAAUCAGCAAGCGGCCAGACAACCGUUGGGAUAGAUCCACAGGUGAUUCAGAUUUUAUCUGUUUUCAGCUACUAAAUCUAUCCUACAAUU